rnacentral:tRNA from 1 species
GGGGUGGCAGCCUAGUGGUUAGAGCAUCGGACUCACGAUUUGAAGGUCGGGGGUUCGAUUCCCGAUCCCA